rnacentral:rRNA from 1 species
AUUGAACGCUGGCGGCAGGCCUAACACAUGCAAGUCGAACGAGUGGCGGACGGGUGAGUAAUGUCUGGGAAACUGCCCGAUGGAGGGGGAUAACUACUGGAAACGGUAGCUAAUACCGCAUACCAUCGGAUGUGCCCAGAUGGGAUUAGCUAGUAGGUGGGGUAACGGCUCACCUAGGCGACGAUCCCUAGCUGGUCUGAGAGGAGGACCGGCCACACGGGAACUGAGAAACGGCCAAGCUCCCUACGGGAGGAAGCAUUGGGGAAUAUUGCACAAUGGGCGAAAUCCUGAUGCAGCAAUGCCGGGUGUAGGAAGAAGGCCUUCGGGUUGUAAAGUACUUUCAGCGAGGAGGCGGUACUCGCAGAAGAAGCAACGGCUAACUCCGUGCCAGCAGCCGCGGUAAUUC